rnacentral:lncRNA from 1 species
UAGCUUCCUCAAAUCAAUAAUCCAAUAGGCCGCACUUUCAUCAAUUAUAAAAACAAAUACUAGUAUUAAUUUUAGUAUGAACCUUUUCUCCCAAUAUAUCUUAUUUUUUGAUGGUUGGGAAACCCUUAGUUUUCACUCUCCUUCAAGUAGCUGAAGGAAUUCAAUGGGGUUUAUGUCUAAGAGUACUUUUGAAGUACUCUUUGCUUUGGUCCUCAUGAUUCUUGCCAUAUCCCAAUACACAAGGGGUGUUGAAACUCAACCCACAACAAUCCAACUACCUCAAAGUAAGAACUCUCUCUCUCUCACAAAUAAAAAAAAACAUGUUUUACAUAUAUAUUUUAUUUUCAUUUUAAUUACCUAAAAUUAUUCAAUGAAGUUGAUGUCAUAUAUGGUGAUGCGGUGUGACGCUUGAAUCACGUACAACACCAUACAUAUUUGACAUGGAUUCCCUAGGGUUGCUUAGAUUCAUAAAUUUAGGUCAUCACUUAUGGUUGUACGUAAUUGGGAUAUUGUUAUUUUAAGUACUAUGGACCAGUAUGCUUUGUUAAUUAACUUUCUUGAUUUUGAUAAUGGAGAAUAUAUGCAUAUAUAAUUAAGAAAUUAAUGUUCUUGAUUUGAUAAUAUAUAUAUAUAUAUAUAUAUAUAUAUAUAUAUAUAUAGGGUACUCAAAGGUGUUUGCUACGCUGGGUAUAGCGUGCCAGUGUUGCGAUGGAGUGGGAGGAGAAUGCAGAAGUGAAUGGAAUGAGUCUUGCUCUAAGCUUCAAUGCCUGCCACCAAAACUUUAUUGAAUAUAUAUAUAUAUUCAAGAAUUCAAGAUUAUGUAAUCUGACUGGAUAUUGAUAGAAGUAAUAGGCAAUGUAUUAUGUAUGUUGACAAAAGGGGUUUUAAAAAGGAGAUUUUAUCUUCACCUACGGUACAUAUUCACUUGUUAAACAAGGGAUAUGAGUAAGGUGAAGUUGUCACCACUUUAAUUAGUAUGAAAUUUAUAAUUUUUUUGUUACAUUUAUUAUAAUAAAUAUUGUAUUUUAAUUCUAUCGUUCUAUUUAUGGACCAACCUUAACAUUUACCAUAAUAACUAAUGGAAUAAAAAAGUUUUAAAAUUUUAUAAUGAUAAAAAAAAUAUGACAAUUUUAUCUUAACCGGAUUCGCAAGAAAGAUAGUCUAUAAAACUCACCUAUGUACUCCUACCAAAAGGUGUCGGAUUCUAUUCUUUGAAAAUGCAAUGAGGUCAAUCAAGCAUUAUAUUAAACUCAUAACUAUAUAAUUUAAAUCUAGUUGUAUAUAAUGUACGCCUUUUCUUCUUCUUUUUUUAAGAAUAAUAACAUCUAACAUUAAUUCAUUAUACUAAUGCAACACACACACUACAACAAAAAAGCUUAUUUCCAACAUAUAUAUUGUCGACAAAAGGAAUUCAGCCGGUCUUAGCAUUAUCCCGACGAAAUAUUCUGUCGAAAAAUUAAUUCUCUCAGAAAUAAUGUAAAUACGACCGAAUUCGGUCAAAAAUAAGUGCUAGUAAAGGCGCCAAAAAAGUCCACCGGCACGAAUUAUUUUCUCGAUGGAAUACUACUAUUUUCGACAGAAUGUCCGUCGAAGUUAUAGUAUCCUCGACGGAUAUAAUGUCGACGGAAUUCCAUUGAAAAUAAUUAAAUAAAAACAUAUAUGUCGAUUCAUUUCAGACGCUGCUCUAUGUCCCUUUCUUUAUCGCACAUUGUUCUCACUCUCUAUCUAUCUAUCUCUCUCUCUCUCAGCCGCGAUAACUCCUCUCUCACUCUCUCUCAACCGAACCCUCCUACCUUGCCGCCACCACACCUUCGUUCUCGGCCGCCACCUUCGUUCUCGGCCGCCACCUCCGUUCUCAUCCCCUGCCCUACCACUACCGCACCGCCGGCGACAAGCUUGGCAUACCGGCGUCGGCAGCUAGCUCCCCCUCCGAUUCUCUCUUUCCCUCCUCAUUUCUCCUCUUGUAAUUCAAGGUACAUACUAUAAUUCCUAAUUUUUUUAGCUAGGGUUAAUAUAUAUGUUGAUUUUGACUGAAAUUUAGUUUGAGUUAUAGGAUUAAUUUAUUAUUAUGGUAGCUUGAGUUAAUUUUCAGUCUGGAAUUGGUUAAUAUAUGCUUAAUAUAUAUGGAAUCUGGAAUUGGUUAAUAUAUAUGAAAAUCUGGAAUUGGUUAUAGGGUUAAUAUAUAUGCUGCUGAUUUUUUUAUGUCUUUUGUUGCCAUAUGAAGUGAAAUAUAGUGUUAUUGUCAUCAAAUUGAAGACUUAUAAUUUGCAGUGUUGUGAUUUCAGCCUUUUCCAGCAUUGAGAAUUUAAUAUGUGAAUCAAUUGAAGUCCUCUUUUUUUUUGGUGUUGAAUAUUAUUUUCGACGAAAUUUUCGACAGAAUUUCUGUGGAAGUUAUGGAUGGUAAUAAAUAAUUAUUUAAUUAACUAUAUAAAAGAUAAUUAGGACUUAGUUUGCCACUAAAACUAAGUAGUAAUACUAGAAAAAUCAAAUAAAUUAAUAAAUUAAUACAAAAUAAAAUACUAGAAGAUUUAAAUAACUUUAAUAAAUUAUAUAAUAUAAUAUAAUAAACUUUAAAAUAAAAUAAUUUAAUAACAUAAAAUAAAUGUAAUAGAAUAAGUAUACUUUAUUAUUUAAUAUACUAUAAUUAAAAAUAAAAUAAAUAAAAUAAAUUUAAUUUAAUACAAUAAAUUUAAUUUAAUUUAUUAUUUAAUAUAAUAUUAUAAAAAUAAAAUAAAAUAAAAUAAACUAAUACAAAAUAAAUAAAUUAAAAUACAUAAAUAAAUAAAAUUAUAAUAAUAAAUUAAAUUUAAUAUCAUUAAAUGUAAAUUAAUUUAUUUAAAUAAUAUAAUAUAAUAAAAAAAUAAAUUAAAAUAAAAUAAAAUUCAAUAAUAAUCUUAAACUAAGUAGCAUUUGCUUAGUUUUCCAUUACAUAAAAAAUAUCUUGAAUUAAAUAUAAUAUAAUAACAUAUAAAUUAAAUGAAGCACUUCCUUUUAUGCAGGGUUCGACAUAGCAAUUGCAGCUAAUAGUCCUCUAACCGGUUCCUCAACAGCAAUUAAAAAAAAGGGGUCAUAGUUUCUGUUUGUAUCUUAUACUCGAAUAAUAAAGUUAAUUGAAUUAUUGAAGACAUUCCUUACUGUUCCAUCAUAACAGAUGCCAACAUAUGGAAGGAGUGUCAUUAAGUUGUUGAACAAAGUUAUAGGUUAAGUAACCCUCUAGAUGAGCGAACGAUCACUUCUCUACUAGGAAUGAAUCAUUGCCUGAUAUGGGUCCAAUCCAUGACAUAGACAGCUUCUCAUGUAAGACCCCAACUUAUUAUAAAUGAAAUUUAAUUUCCUCUAUUUAUUAUUUUGAAAUAGUAAGGGUUGAAUUGAUUAAUGUGAUUAGUUAUGGGUAAAAUGCGUGAAUAUUUUAAAAAUAAGCAGAUGGUUAUAAAAUAUUCAUUAUUGUCGGGGAAUAUUCGUUUGGUCGUGGAAUAUUCUUGCUGUCGGAGAAUAUUCGUACGACGGCUCAGUCUUUUGUGGGCCCCAUAACGGAAAGCGAUUGGAUGAAGAAAACGACAAAUAUAAGUUGUUUAUAAAUAACGGCGUAGUUGUUACCGUUAAUACUGUUGAAAUACCCGGUGGUUAAAACACAGUAAUACGCGUUGUUGCACAGUAGCACACGGUAUUGCACCAAUUAUUGAUUCUUACGUAAGAAGGCACUACUCAAUAAUUGUUACAGUAAUUACUGUUCAGUAUUUUAUUUUAUUGAUUCAAUAAUUGCUGCAUUGAUAUUUUAUAUUACUGUUGUUUCAAUAAUUGUCACUACACAGUAUUUUCCAUUAUCGAAGCAAUAAUUCAUAUUAUCUGAAUAAUAUUAUUAGAUAACAUUAUUGGCAAUGUCUAGAAAGUUCUGUCUAAGGAGAGGUUUGGUCACCUAAUUGCGCGCCAGUAAGGAGAAAUUCUUAUUGGAAAGCCCCCUCUUUCCUGGGAACUGCCUGGUUGUCAAUAUUGUGAUUCUGUAAUAUUAUUUGUGAAUAAUUAAUUAUUGAUUCAUAUGAUGAGGAAAAUAUUGAUUUUAUGUGGAUAUAGAUGGAGAAAAUUUUUAAUGUGACAAUUGUUGAAAAUUGAAAUUUUAUCUUUUUCUGAUAAAAUAAUUCAUUUAAAUAUAUAUAAUAUUAUAUUUUAAUAAUAUAAUAAUGGUGAUAUUUUUACAACGAAUGUGGGAUAUAUGAGUAUACGAGGAGGAAGAGUAUUUUUGUUGCAAUAAAUGUUUAAAACAUGUUAAACAUGUCGGUGGACCCCAUUUAUUGACUGAAAUUUGAUUAUAGCCUCUAAAAUCGCCCGUUUGUGGAUUUCGGUCAAUUUCUGUUUGGAAUUUGGAAAAACUUUCUUCUGCAAAGUUGUAGAGAAUUGAAUUUCCUAUAAAAACUCGCGAGAUUCGAAUUUUCUGACAAAAGGGCUAUUUAUUAUGAAUUAUUGAAGUUCCGAAGCUCCGAAAUAAUUGAUUUUUGGAAGUUUAAAAUAUUUUAAAUUAGAAAAACGUUUUUUUUAUUUUUUUCUAGAAGGUUGGCAUGUGUGAAUUGCUGAGAUUAAGAUUUCAAGGAAUACGUAUAAUAUUUUUAUAUAUAUUAAUAUUAUAUUAAAUUUUCUGCUUUGGUGUUCUAAGCAAUUUCCUAUAAAUAGGUGCUUAGGUUAGAAUUGAAAAUCACACCAGAAACUGAAGUUUUCUCUCUCUAUAUUAUCGAGCGUAUUCUUGUGAGUAUUUUGAGUAUACUUUGAGUAUUGCUAUACGGUGAAAGUUCAAGUUAUAGCCUAUAUCCAGUAUUCCAGUUAGAAGUACUGUCUUUCCGAGGUAAGGGAUAUUAUUUUUUUUCGUAAUGAUAUUAUUUCUUCAAUAUCAUUAUGCUGAAAUAUUGAUCUGAAGUUUUUAUCAAAUUUGGAACUUUUGGUGUCGGAGUUACUAUUCACGUAUACGGCACUAUUCACGUAUACGGUACUAUUCACGAAUACGGCACUAUUCAUCGAAAAAUGAAAAUUUUUCUUUUCGUCCAAAAUAUCUAUUGUGGAUACUAGCUUUGAUUGUAUCCAUGUUUUGAUCAUUCUUGAAUUUUACACCACUAUGAUUAUUUUUGAGGUAUUUUUGGACGUGGAUAAAACAAAGUACGAAUCCUUAAUCCUUAAUCCUUGUCAUUUUGUUUCACUGGAUUCGUUUCUUUAAAAAAAUUUUUCAUCAUCCUCAGUCUUAAAUGAUGAUAUUAUUGAAUAUCUUUGGCCUGUAGUGCAAAGAUGAAUGAUUUCUGAUGAAUAUCUUUGGCCCGUAGUGCAAAGAUGAACAGGUGUUUAGAUGAACAUGACCAACUGAUGAAUAUCUUUGGCCUGUAGUGCAAAGAUGAAUAUUUGAUUCCAGAUAUAUAUUGAUUGAUGUUACAGGGAUAAAAGAUAGACGAUGAACUUUUAAAUUCAUACAUAGAAGAUAGUAGUUUGCAUUCUCUACUUAACUCUUCUAAUGAAUUAUUAUUUCCGCUGCGAAUAUUGAUUUAAAACUUGUUGUCUAUUGUAUUCUAUUAGAUUUUUCCCUGUUGAAGACUAACGAUAAUUUGUUGUAUAUUAUCUUAGUCAUAAUAUUCUUUACUGGGCUAGUUGAGCUCACCCUUUUCCUUUUUGUUCCAUUUUUCUUCUCAGGAGGCGAGAAUAUAGCGAGUACGAGUCGGGGUAUGGAAUGAAGGUUCUAGAGAGAGUUGUUUAGUAGUCCUCACCAUUUUUGUAAAAUAAUGUAUCAAUAAUUAUGAUGGGGAUUUAUUUGCGUGUGGAUAUUGUGUAGAUGGCAAUAUCUGUAUUUAAACUCACAGUUUAUAUGUUGUAAUAAUAAAGUUGUAGUUAUUUCUGUACCAUGUAUUUGGCGACUCAGAAUGGGUUGGAUGGAAUGGACCUAUUUUGGGGGCGUCACAUCUCACCACUCCAAAUUUCUCAGAUGGGUAGUGCUCACAGAAUGUCUAACCUCUUUUUCUAUGAGAACUACCCAUCUGAGGAAAUUGGAGUGGUGAGAAGCUGUUUAUGUCAUGGAUUGAACCCAUAGCAGGCAAUGAUUCAUUCAUAGUAAGAGAAGUGAUCGUUCGUUCAUCUAGAGGGUUGCUUAACUUGGAACUUUGUUCAAUAGCUUAAUGGAAAUCCUUCGGGAUGUUGUCAUCUGUUAUGAUGGAAUAGUGAGGAAUGUUCGCAGUAAUUCAAUUAACUUUAUUAUUAGAGUAUAGGACACAAACAGGAGCUACGACCCUUUUUUUUGUCCGAUUACUACCGAGGAACCGGUUGGAAUACUAUUAGCUGCAACUGCAACUAAUAUGAAACUUAGAUUGACUCUUCUCCUAGUAGUCAUUACAGCUGCAACUGCUAUGAAACUUAGAAACCCGUUUGACAAGUAUAUAUGAGUGGAUGUCGAACAGUAAUCUCUAUAGAUUCCAAAUAACAAUUCUCAUAAACUAAUUAAGUACCACUUACUUAGUUUAUCAUUGGCAAAAUAAACUAAGUAGCAUUUGCUUAGUUUGCCACAAUUUUCAAUAAACUCAAUAAUACUCUCCCUUUACUCUGCAAUAAAUUCAAUAAUAUAUAUAUGUAAUAUACUUUGGAGCUUAGAAACCCGUUUGACAUUCACUCUGUAGGAGUGAAUGUCGAAUAGUCCCCAGUUUGGGACUGUUACUGGAUGUUAUGUCUCUUACUUAGGUCGGUGCUAAUUCACAAGGUGCGUGUUUAUAAUAUUUUGAGGAUUUUUCAGCUGGUGUCUCUAUAUAUGUUCUUCGAGUGCAUUCUUAGACUAAUUUGUCUUGGUCUAUUUCGUGUACUUAGAAACCAUGGGGAGGUGAUGCUGAAAUUUUUUUAAAAUAUUAUAAACACACACCUUGUGAAUGGCACUAGUGAGGAGACACAUCUAGGAACGGGAUAGAAGCCUAACCCCUGUAGAGUGGAGAUAUAUACUAGGUCGAUUAGGUUGUCCACCGACAGUGCUUGACACAGUUCCAGUUGAUGUCGGCUCGUCUGUGUAGGUUUCAACUAUAAUAUAUCACUUAUGUUCAAUUAGAAUGAUAUUAUCAUAUGAUUAAUAAAUUAAAAUGUUAUUAAUAAAUUUUAUAUUCUAGUAUUAUGGAUCUUGUCGCUAAGGCGACCAUACACGCCAUCUGUCUGGCGCAUCUCCCUACUGGCUGCAUGCGAUUUAGCCAGUACGCGCGCUACAAUGUUGGCUUCAUGGUGACAGUGUUGCGGGAGUUUCACGUAAGUCGAAUUACAUAUAUUAAAUCAAGGUCCAUGCAUGUUAUUUACAUAUUGUUCAAAUAAUAAAUUAUAUGUAUGUUAUGUCUAUUUGAUAGAGAUACUAUAGAUACGAGGCUGGCAUCACUGAGGCGGAUGGUGACGCCGUAACAUUGCCCACAUCUCAAAGAAUUAUGUCGGCUGGUUGUACGAGAUGCGACAGAGGGCAGUCCGGGCGGUAGAAGAAUCGCCCAGGACUACUUUACGAGAGCAUCAGCCGCCGACAGUAUCAGAUGCAGCAUGGGUUGCGAUGUGUGCGUACUAGGAUGAUGCUGCGUUCAAGACCAAGUCGGAGCAGAUGAAGAAUAAUCGCAGUAAGCUGCGAGUUGUACAUACUUCUGGCUCGCAGUCGUUUCAAGAGGUUAAGUCGGUAUGUAUUUCCCUUUAGUUUAGUUUAAUAUUAAAUUACAACCAUAGUAAAUUAAGGUGAUAUUAUUUAAUAUAUAUGAUUUAGGCCAUGCGGAAUAGCUUGGGCUGACCUCCUACUAUGAUCAAGUUCUGGGAUAGAGUCCAUACGCUGAAGGGCUCUACUUUGCGGUCAACGAUAUCUCCAGAAGCACUAGCUAUACAGGUAAUACAUUUAAUAUAAUAAAUAUUAUUUAGGAUAAUAUUACGUAAUUUAUAUGAUGAUACCAAGAUAACUCACUUGUAUAUCAAAUUAUAGAAGCGGUUUGAGAAGCUCCGCAGCCAGUGUAUAGUAGAGUUGUAGGCUGCUAGGGGCGAUGCUGAGACGUUAGAUUCCAUCGUCCCUCCGCCCGAGAUUAGUUUAUCUCAGAACGAGGAGACGGCUCUUUGGGUAGCAUCUCAGGAUACUCCCACUAGUACUACCGGCCGGUAUCGAGUGCUGGGAUUACUAAGGAUACCAGCCUAUACACUACGAGGAGGUAUAAUAUUUUAGUUUAUUUCUUGUUUAUGAAUAAAUUAAACUUAUAAUAUUAUUCAUAUUAUAUUUAUUUUUGUAGGCUCUAGCCAGCAUCUGCGUCCGAGAGCCCCCGUGGGACCAUCACAUACAGGCGCUGGCUUAGACGAUGCUUUGUUCCAGUGUGUUAUGGUUGCGGUGUCGGAGAGGUUUGAGACCGAUCUGCUGUUCCAUCGUCAGGACCCGCCCAGUCAUUCUCGCCUCCAUCAGCUUGCGCAGGACGUUGCAGCUGGUGCCACCGCCGAGAGUACGGGUAUCCCUCCGGAGCAGUGGGUCGCAAUACGCGACAAGAUUAUUCGGAUGGUGGUUACCUUAGUCGAGGACGUGUUUGGGCCGAUGUUGAGUUAGCGCUCGACUGCUCAAGUAUACUUCGUUUUAAAUAAAAAUAUAUAUUCUGCAUGUUAUUUAAUUUUCAUUUAGUUAUCUUUAACUGAAUCAUAUAUAUGGACUAAUGAGUUACAUUAUAUUGUAUCAACAGGGUGAUGAGCGGACUGACGAGCGGGAUGACGAUGAUGGCAAUUUUCAUACUUUAGAGCAGCGUCGACACUUGCCCGAUGAUCCUCCUCACACCGGGGGCUCUACUAGCUUGACUUAGUUUACAUUCUUUUGUAGUUUACAUAAUUUUUAACGUAUUAUAGUUUAAACCUUGUCAUUACUUUGGUUUUGUAUUUGGUUUGACAUUUAGUUUAACCGCACCUUAAUGGGGUGUUUGAUAUAGUUUAGUUUAGAUUAAUGGGAUGUUUUUGACCUUUUUACUUCUCAUUUAGUUGGUUUUUGACAUAUUGUUGGUCUCGGUAUUGUAAUUCAUGUUAUUGGCCAUAUUGGUAGCUUGUGUAUGUGUUGUUGGAAAAACAGGUACAGGUACAGUUACAAGAUGUAGGUUAAAUCCAUGAAUAUUGCAAAAAUAAAAUAAAACAUUUAAAAAAACACUAUUCUCGACGAAAUAUUACUAAGAUCGACGGACUUCUAUCGGCAAUAAGUUCUUAACAUUUUGGUCACGUGUCACGUAUAUUCUCGACGGAAUAGUAGUAUCCUCGACGGAUAUUCGUCGAGUUUAAGUUGUUUUCCAUUUUCUUGACAUUGCCACGUGGCAUGAUUAUUCUCGACCGAAUUUCCUCGACAGACUAUUUUCAGUCGGACUUAUAGUAAGACCGACUGAAUAUUCGGUCGAGGAUAAGUCCAUCGACAAUAAGUAUGUGACGACCCCAAAAUAGGUAUACAUCACCCAUCUUGAGUCGCCAACUACAUGGUAAAAAAUACAAAUAAAAACUUAAUUAUACAACUGUCAUGUAAAAUAUGACAAAAUAUAUGCUAAGAGUUUUAAUACAAAUAUUGUCAUCUAGACAAUAUCCACACUCAAUGGAGUUCUCAUUACAUUUAUUAUCACACUAUUUAACAGAAUAGUGAGGACUACUAAUGCUAUCAUCUGGACCGUCACUCCGUUCCCCGACUCGUCCCAACUAUAUUUUCAUAUCCUGAAGAGAACAGUGAAAGAAAGGGUGAGCUCAACUAGCCCGGUAAGAAAUAUUAUGACUAAGAUAAUGCAGAAUAAAUUAUCAUUAGUCUUCAACAAUAUUAAACUGAUAAAAUACAAUAGACAUCAAGUUUAACUGAAGCGGAAUAAGCAAUCCACUGGAAGAGUCAAGUAUAGCAUGAUAUCUAGUAUCUUCUAUGAUUUAAAAUAUUUUCAUCAAUUUUUUAUUAUUAUUUUAUCCCUGAGACUCAGCUUAAUAAAUAAACCACAUCAUCGAAUCAUCCCUGCACUACGGGCCAAGGAUAUUCAUUAAAUCAUCAAUGGUCAUGACUAUACCGAAUAAUCCCUGGUCAUAAUCAUACUAAAAACUGUCCAUCAAUGCACUACCGGCCAAUGAGGACUUUUACCACAUCAUUCGUUACAUUACAGUCAUGAUUAUACCGAAUAAUCCCUGGUCAUAAUCAUAUCAAGUCCAUUUAUGCACGUAAGUCAAAGAUGACUUUCAUCACAAUAUAAGCAUGAGGAUGAUGACAAUGAUAUAAGCAAUAAUCAAACGAAAUCAAGGAUAAAUAUUAAAGACUUUAAAUUUAUCCAAAUAUUAUCAAUCACUUAAUAAACUCAUAAUCUAAUAUUAUUAAUAUUAUAANNNNNNNNNNNNNNNNNNNNNNNNNNNNNNNNNNNNNNNNNNNNNNNNNNNNNNNNNNNNNNNNNNNNNNNNNNNNNNNNNNNNNNNNNNNNNNNNNNNNNNNNNNNNNNNNNNNNNNNNNNNNNNNNNNNNNNNNNNNNNNNNNNNNNNNNNNNNNNNNNNNNNNNNNNNNNNNNNNNNNNNNNNNNNNNNNNNNNNNNNNNNNNNNNNNNNNNNNNNNNNNNNNNNNNNNNNNNNNNNNNNNNNNNNNNNNNNNNNNNNNNNNNNNNNNNNNNNNNNNNNNNNNNNNNNNNNNNNNNNNNNNNNNNNNNNNNNNNNNNNNNNNNNNNNNNNNNNNNNNNNNNNNNNNNNNNNNNNNNNNNNNNNNNNNNNNNNNNNNNNNNNNNNNNNNNNNNNNNNNNNNNNNNNNNNNNNNNNNNNNNNNNNNNNNNNNNNNNNNNNNNNNNNNNNNNNNNNNNNNNNNNNNNNNNNNNNNNNNNNNNNNNNNNNNNNNNNNNNNNNNNNNNNNNNNNNNNNNNNNNNNNNNNNNNNNNNNNNNNNNNNNNNNNNNNNNNNNNNNNNNNNNNNNNNNNNNNNNNNNNNNNNNNNNNNNNNNNNNNNNNNNNNNNNNNNNNNNNNNNNNNNNNNNNNNNNNNNNNNNNNNNNNNNNNNNNNNNNNNNNNNNNNNNNNNNNNNNNNNNNNNNNNNNNNNNNNNNNNNNNNNNNNNNNNNNNNNNNNNNNNNNNNNNNNNNNNNNNNNNNNNNNNNNNNNNNNNNNNNNNNNNNNNNNNNNNNNNNNNNNNNNNNNNNNNNNNNNNNNNNNNNNNNNNNNNNNNNNNNNNNNNNNNNNNNNNNNNNNNNNNNNNNNNNNNNNNNNNNNNNNNNNNNNNNNNNNNNNNNNNNNNNNNNNNNNNNNNNNNNNNNNNNNNNNNNNNNNNNNNNNNNNNNNNNNNNNNNNNNNNNNNNNNNNNNNNNNNNNNNNNNNNNNNNNNNNNNNNNNNNNNNNNNNNNNNNNNNNNNNNNNNNNNNNNNNNNNNNNNNNNNNNNNNNNNNNNNNNNNNNNNNNNNNNNNNNNNNNNNNNNNNNNNNNNNNNNNNNNNNNNNNNNNNNNNNNNNNNNNNNNNNNNNNNNNNGAAAAGUUGUAAAGUCCUUUGAUAGAUAAUAGAAACAUAUGUACAAGGACUUAGAAUGAAUUGAUCAAAUGUGUUAGGUUGAUCCUACAUAAGCAAAACAGCUUUGUAAAGUCCUUAAAAAGAAAUGAUGUACAAGGACUAUAAAUAUAGAAAGAUCAAACAUGCUAGGUUGAUCUUAUGAUGUAAUAGAUAGGCUUGUCUGAUCGUCAAGCACUGAACCAGAAAUCAUAGUCUGCCAGGAGAGUCAAGGAAAACUCGAGAGCUAUCGAGGCAGAAUCGUAGUCUGCAAGAUAGUAGAUCUCGGAGUUCGUAGACUUCCAGGAGAGAUGAGGAAGGAUCGUAGUGUGUCGAGGAGAACUUCCUCAGGGCCGUAGUCUGCUGAGGAAGUCAUGUUCAGAAUCGUAGAGACAGCCUGCCUACGAGCCUACCGAGUAUCUGCCAAAGCUAAGUCAAGAAUCGUAAACUACACUCAGAGUCAUAGAGUCUACUAAUCAUACCAGAGGCAGAGAUCGUAGUCGAGCAAGAUCAGAUGAAGACAACAAGCACAACGACAGAAAUCGUAGAGUGUCAAAAUCUGAUCUCGGAGUCGUAAUGUCUGCACAACCAAAGCUGAAUCAUAGAGUGCAGAACUAAGACCUCAACAGAUGUGCUCACAAUACCAAGGCAGAAUCAUAGAGCAAAUACGAUUCUCAACGAAUGAGCACUCCUAGAAUAUCCAAAGAAAUGAAGCCUCUGGUUGGCACUGCAUAGCAAGAGCAAGGAAUCGAGCAAGGAAUCGAGCCAUCAGUAUCUGAGAGCAGUCAAGGCAAACAGAAGUAUCGAAGCACUGUAUAAGAGAAGGAAGAGGUGUUCUACAUUGGAGAUCUAAUGAACACUCUUCAAAUUUGUAGUGUUAAUUCUACACAUCAAAAAGCAAGUCAAACAAGACACUACGAUCAAGUCCAAGAAGGUAUGCAUCAGAAUCGUAGAGUUCGAACAACUGAAGAUUGAUAUUCGAAUAAAGCUUAUUGAGAGCAUCGAUGCAAAAGGACAACCUCUGAUCAAGAAAUCAGAAGGGUAAAAUAAAGUCGUUGACCUGCCCAAGAUAUCAAAGUGACAUAUCUGACAGGGUUGGUGAAACAGCAGACUGCAGUGUUAGAAAGUCAAAAAAAGAUGUCAUGUCACAUCUACAGUCUGCACCAAAUAACUCGAGAUCUGAGAAGAAAUUUGAAUAGCUUUCAACGGCUACUUUCCAACGGGAAGAUUGGGAAGCAGUAUAAAUCAACAUAGCUUCAAAGAUCAAGAGUUACCGAUGAUUGUAUUAUUGCAGAAUCGUUGAGUUGGUGAAUGCUAUUGUUGACUCUACGAGUUCCACCAAAAAUCAAUAGAACAAGUCUCAGUGACAGUGAGACUACCAAGGUGGAAGUGAAGCAGCUUUGAAGAAGGAAUCAAACAAAUUGAAGCUUCACUCAACAAAGAUGAGAAUGCCACUGAAGAUGGCAGCCAAGCUGAGAGCCGAGAAGGCCAAGAAGAUAGCAUUCAGGAAAGUGGCUAAAUACAAAGAAGAUCAAGAGAGCCACUCUACGAAUCAUCAUAAACCGAAAGCUGAAACUGAACAAGUGAAAAACCAUGUCUGCAAAGUAUUCAAGAAGGGUUCAGGAAUUGUUAAGUGCCAGACAAAGUCUACUAAAAGCACAGAGACUUAGCAAACCCAGAUGGUGAUGGUACACAACUGAUACCAGAUGAAUAUGAGCAGAAAAGAACGAAGAUCAGUUGCACCAAGGAAGAUAUGGUCCAGACCCGAAGCAGAAUGCGAAGAGGACCACGUCAAGCUGCUAAGUACAAAAGAUGUUCAGAGCUUAAUGACAUCUUAGCAGCUCAGCACCAACAACAUCAACAACUCAACAACAAGAAGCCAGGGCCUGAGGGGUCCUUGUCCGGAGGGACUAAAUGAAGUUCCAAGCCUGCUGGGCUUGAAGAGUUCCUAGGGAACUAGAGAAUUUCCAAGGCUGCUGGCCUUGAAGAGUUCUUAGUGAACUGAAGUCCCAAGGCUGCUGGCCUUGAAGGAAUCGUAGUGAUUCAGGGUGCUGCCCUUCCUUAGUGGAAAUCCUGCUAGUUGAAAGUAGAAGAGUGGAUUAGGAGCUUGAGUCUCUGAACCAAUUAAAACCCCUUGUGUCUUUUACUUUAUGUCAUUUACAUUAUGCACAUUAACUGUUAUAACUGCUAUGUAUGUUUUAACUGCUUACUACUGAAGUAACUCUACGAACAAUGUAUGUGUGAUUAUGAAUAUAUCAAUGAAGGGGAUCUUUUACUUAUUCCGCUGUGCUUAAAAAGAUUCUUAAGUUUUCAUGAGCUACUUAAUGAGCAAUACAACUUAAUAGAGUAAAGGUAUUUUGAAAUUCUAAGGAUCUAUUCAACCCCCCCCUUCUAGAUCUAUAUUGUGCCUAUUGGCGCGCAAUUAGGUGACCAAAUCUCUCCUUGACAGAACUUCUAGACAUUGUAAAUAUUGUAAUUUAAUAAUAUGAAUAACUUUGUCGUCUCAAUUAUUGAUUUAAUAAUAUAUCAUAUUAUGCAGAUGAUACUGUGACAAUAAUCGAAUCAAUGACAUGAGAAAUAUGAUGCAGCAAUUACUGUAGCAAUAAUUGAGUAUAACUGAAUGAGUUCUCACGUAAGCAUCAAUAAUCAAUAUUGUGUGCUACUAUGCAACCACGUGUAUUACUGCACUUUUACUACCGAGUAGUUCAACAGUUUUAACGGUAACACUUUCGCCGUUAUUUUUAUAAAAAGAUAAUUCUGUCAUUUUCUUACUACGACAAUACUUCCGUUAUGGGGUCCACCAAUGAUUGUGCCGUCGUACGGAUAUUUCCCGACAAAAAAAUAUUCCCCGACCAAACGAAUAUUUUAUAACAACUUGCAUACUUUGCAAAAAAUUUCACAUAUCACCCUUAACUUUAACCCUUUAUCAAUUUAAUCAUUUACAAAAUAAAAUAAUAAUUAUAAGAAAAUUGAAUACUUUCAUUUCAUAAAAUUCGGGGUCUUACAAAGUAUCCACGACUGAAAGACCGACGAACUUAAUUUCUACUUGCUUAUAUACGACCGAAGUUCCGACCGAAUAUUCUGUCGGAAAUGAGGUUAACCUCGACGGAAUAUCCUUAUUACCGACGAAAUAUUCCGUCGGAAAUAAGCCUUUUUGUUGUAGUGACAUUAUGUUACUUCACCAUACUUAUUAACACAUCUAGAUUUUUUAAAUUUAUUUAAUAUAAAAUUUAUGUGAAAUAUCUCAACACAUAUGUUCGCAUAUCCUUCCAUAAUUUUAAUUUGAAAUCUAACAUUUUUUUAAUAUCUACGCAUCGAAACCUUGGCUACUCACGUACAAAGUGGAUUAUGGUCCGAAAUUAUAUCAUUUGAGCUACAACAGCAACUCCAUAAUUUGGGUGACUAUAAUAAAGUGUCAAUAUAUAGUUCCUAAUUUAUAUAUUUAAGGAUGUAAAUGAAUCAAGUUGGGUCGAGUAUUGAGUUGUUCAUAUUUAGUUAAUAAAAAUUAGGAUGAAUUACAUAUUCUAUUACAUUUUUAAAAAUAAUUACAGCAAUAGUGUACUCAUAAAAUAUUUACGCAAUUAAUACAAUUUCAUAUUUAUUUAUAAUAUUAGUGCAAUUAGGAUUUCUUAAUUUAGAGAAUUAGUAUGCAAUUAGGAUUCUUUAAUUUAGGAAUUAGUUAUCCCCAUGACUUCUUCUCUCUCUCUCCUCAUUUAGAAUAACUGCAUUAGUUAGUCAUCACCCUUCUUCUUCAUUCAACGUAUUCUUUCUCUCUCUCUCUCUCUCUCUCUCUCUCUCUAUAUAUAUAUAUAUAUAUAUAUAUAUAUAUAUAUAUAUAUAUAUCCCUAACAAGCUUUUGAUUGGCAAGCUUUUGACUCAAGUCACUCAAGUUCAGAAAAUCGAGGUUCUUUUGUGUUGAAAUUCAUUGUGGAAUCUCUCCUGAAAUUCGGCAAGAUUUGAGAGAGAGUUGAGAUAGCAUACACUUGGGCACUAUCUUCAGAUUGUUAUUCCAAAUCAUCUAGUUUCCACCAAAAAACAAAUUCUUCAGGCUCUUUAUAUCAAAUAACCAGGUUGGGAUUUCUCCUGCAAGCAUGUUAUCUUCAAGCCGAAGUGUUUCUAAUUUUCUCAAGUUCUGUAUAUAUGCUGGUAUUGUUGGGUAUGACGAAGGAGGUCAGUUGACAGAAACUGUUUGCAGGAGGUCAUAUGCAGUUAUUUUGUUUGAUGAGAUUGAGAAAGCCAAUUCUGACGUGUUCAAUGUGUUCCUUCAAAUACUGGAUGAUGAUAACCAAACCUUCAUACCAAGGUAACCAAAUUGUCAUAUCAAAGUAACCAAUCAACCUCCACACUUUCAAUUUUUUCUUAGUGCAGUUGGUAACCAAACUUUCAUACCAAGGUAACCAAUUCACAUCCACACCUACAGUUUUUUCAUAGUGCAGUUGGUAGCCAAACCAUCAGACCAAAAUAACAAAUUCAGUUUUAUUAAGUUACCAAUUUUGUUUGAAUGUGAUGCAGUUGGUAGCCAACCAUUCAUACAAAUGUAACCAUUUUAGUAUUUAUGAGUAACAAAAUAGUAAUAAAAAAAAAAUUAGAACGGUAAAAGUUACAUCUAUUUAUUUUAAACUUUUUGUAGGACGAAUCUUCUGCUUCUUCUCAUUGGCGUUUUGGACAACGGAGAUUCUAGGCGGUGUAGCGGCAGAGUAGCGAAAAAGAAGUCGACGGGAAGAGAGAACUAAAAAAGUAAAAAUUGAAACAGAGCCCAAUUUACAUGUACUGAUAUUUUAUUUAUUUAUUUACUUAUUUGUUAACUAUUAUUUCAAAGUGUAUGUGAUGGAGAUGAAGAUUUGAAUUUGAAUUAUUAUUUUGAAUUUGAAUUUGUUUUUGUUGUUAGAUCCCAAAUAUUUGAAUUUGAAUUAUUAAUUAUGGCAGUUAUUUCUCCUUGAUUUUAGGUUUCCUUAUUAAUGUGAAUUGUACUAUUUUUUGUAAUAUGAGUCCUAAUUACACUCUUUUUGUACUUAUUUUGCUGAUGCACUAAUGAUGUAAUUACUUUCUAAUUGUUGUAUAUUUCUAUAAAGAACCCUAAAAAUUAUCGAAUAUAGAAUAAGAUUUGAUUGAGGCUCGUUUAGCUACCGAGCCGAGGACGAUCUCGAAUCGAGCCCGAACAGUUUGAACUUUUCGAAUGAAAAUGAUCUAAGUAUCAAUAGAAAAUUACAAUUUGAGGAGGUUCGAGUAAUUUAUCGAACUUUAAAAUUUGUUCAUAUUUGAAUCAUUUAUAUUUCGAGUCGAGCUCGAAUCGAACUUUUAAUCAAGCGAGUAAAAAUUGAGCUCGAACUGUUUGCUCAUUUUACAACCUUAUAUAUAUUAGUUCUUCAUGUUGGACAUAUUUAUCAUAAAAUGUUGUAGCAUUCUCAUUUGUAAAAUAUUUAUAAAAAAAAAGUUCUCUUUUUAUUGAUAAUAGUAUAAAAUGAGAUAAUAUCCUCAAGUAUAACUACACAAUUUCACUGGAAUGUCAUUGCUACUACUGUAUACUUGUUAUAGGAAACUGAUAAAUUCAUAACAGAAAAUAAUUUUUCCAUAUGAAAACUGUCGCUAUAACUCCUAUAACAACAAUGAUCUAUAGCGACAGUUUUUAUCGUGGCUAUACAUCUAUAGCGACAGUUUUCAUGUGUAAAUAUUAAAAAGUGUUAAGGAAAUAUCAAUUUUAUUGUUAUAUGUCUGAAUAAAUAUGAAAGAAAAAUAUAGCUUAAAAGUGUAAAGUAUUGCAUCUUGAAUCGAGUUAAUAUUCACUCUAUUUCAAGACAGUAUUCGCUCCUUAAUAAACAGCACAAGAUAUAUUAGUAAAAGGGUAGAAAUAGUGUUUAAUGCAAAACUAUAAUGAGAUUGGGGAAAAUUGAGGAGGCACCAAACGGCCAUUGAAAAGGGAAAGAGGCAUAUUUGAAAAUCCACCAUUAACAUGAGACCUUGGAUUAUUUUUGAAAAUUAAUCACAACACUUCAAUGAUAAUAUGGCAUUACUUGAAUAAAUACUUUUAUCUAACAAUAUUUCAAUUCCCUCUUUAAACUUAGAUUUUAUUUCUCACCUUCAAGAACUUAGACAUUAUAUCACUUUUUAUUUCUUAGUUAAAUUCUAGGCACUCUUACUAUUGUGCAAAAUGGCUUUAACCAAUCAAAAGUAAAUUAAAAUAAAUAAAAUUUUAAAGUCAAAAAUUAAGAAGUGAAAUUGGACGACAGUUACCCCGAAGAAAUUAAAACUAUCUAUACAUUCACUUUUUUCUAUAUGGAAAUUUAAUAAAUUAUGGAACUGAUAUAUUUUUACAUAUAUUUUUUAUAUUUAUGCAGGGUUCUCUCGCAUGAAAAUAAAGUGAGUUUCAAUUUUAUAUAAGAGGGGACUAUGUGAAAAUAUCAAAAAUACACGUAAACAAAUCAAAAAUCAAACAUACCAAAAAUCAAAAACAAAUCAAAAAACCACUUUAAUUCACACAAACGUUUAAUUUUACAAUCAAAAACAUUUAUUAAACAUUUUAAUAAACGUUUACAAAUCAAAAAUUAAACAUUUUUUUAUUUUGUACCUAAACGUUUACAAAAACAUAAACGUUUAUCAAUCAAAAAACACGUAAACAUUUUUUUACGUUUUUUAUUUUUAAAAUUUAAUUUUUGAUUUUUGAUUUUUUCGAAUCAAAAAUCAAACAUACCAUACAAUUAAAUUCAUAAUAAACUAUGUCUCAAUAGGCCCCAUUAAUAUUUUGACUUUUGUAAAGUGUCUCCAUUCUUUUACACGUAUAACUAAUAAUUAUUUUUAAUUUACUUCUUUAACACUCUAAAAGUGACAUGUUGGUGUAAAUUUCCCCUUAAAAAAAUUAUUAAACCAACUUUCAUUUAUCAUUCGUAUUAUUAUUUGAAUUGCAUUGGAGGUUGCUUUGGAGGUUAUAAGGAAAUUGACUACUUCUCUUCUUAAUUCUUCCUUCUUUUUUUUCUUUUUUGAAGCAGAAAUAAAUAUUAUUUUCUCCGUUUCACAAAGAGUUCCAUUAAUUAUACUUACCCUCAAAUGUGUAGUUUAGUAGUGAUGACGUAAUAAUAAAAUUGUGAUGAUCGAUUUAUCUAAGAUUUUAGUAUCGUUUUAAUAAAUCAUCAAGAAAAAUUGGACUUUUUUUUCUUAACAAAAAAAAAGACAAAAUGUGACUCUUUUUUGUGAAAAAUAUGAGUAUUUACGUAUAUAUAUAUAUAUAUAGAACAAGGUUCAAGUGCAUACUUUUUAUCUUACUCACCCGUGCUCACCCCCCCUUUAGCGACGGACCCGACGACGGUUCGGUCAUACAACCGUCGUCUAUACUUUUAGCGACGCUAUAUGUUGGCGUCACUAAAAGUAUAGACGACGGUUGUAUGACCGAACCGUCGUCGGGUCCGUCGCUAAAGGGGGGGUGAGCACGGGUGAGUAAGAUAAAAAGUAUGCACUUGAACCUUGUUCUAUAUAUAUAUAUAUAUACGUAAAUACUCAUAUUUUUCACAAAAAAGAGUCACAUUUUGUCUUUUUUUUUGUUAAGAAAAAAAAGUCCAAUUUUUCUUGAUGAUUUAUUAAAACGAUACUAAAAUCUUAGAUAAAUCGAUCAUCACAAUUUUAUUAUUACGUCAUCACUACUAAACUACACAUUUGAGGGUAAGUAUAAUUAAUGGAACUCUUUGUGAAACGGAGAAAAUAAUAUUUAUUUCUGCUUCAAAAAAGAAAAAAAAGAAGGAAGAAUUAAGAAGAGAAGUAGUCAAUUUCCUUAUAACCUCCAAAGCAACCUCCAAUGCAAUUCAAAUAAUAAUACGAAUGAUAAAUGAAAGUUGGUUUAAUAAUUUUUUUAAGGGGAAAUUUACACCAACAUGUCACUUUUAGAGUGUUAAAGAAGUAAAUUAAAAAUNNNNNNNNNNNNNNNNNNNNNNNNNNNNNNNNNNNNNNNNNNNNNNNNNNNNNNNNNNNNNNNNNNNNNNNNNNNNNNNNNNNNNNNNNNNNNNNNNNNNUGCUUUGCAAUUUCUCGGUAACAAAUUAAACCAACAUUAUCGACCGGUAGAAUAAAAGCUACAAAGAGACGAGAUCUACCUGAUUAGCAUUAAUUAAUUCUUCCUACAGCAAAACUCCAUCUACUUAACAUUUGCAAAAAGAAAAUUCAAAGAAUAUUAACUGUCAAUGGAUCAUUGCUCCAAUGUUCAUGCUAACUAUAGUAAUUAGAAUAUUUUUUUAUAUCAUUGCUCCAUAAAUAUUUUAAACUAUAGUAAUUAUAAUAUUUUUUAUUUUUUAAUAAAUUUGAUUAAUUUUGGGUUUUGACUUUCAAAAAAUAAUAAUGAUUUUAUAAUUUGAAAUGAAAAUACUACUCCGUUACUUUUUAAUUUUAGGAAAAAACACAAAUAUUAAAAAAUAUAAUCAAAAUCAACCGAUGAAAUUAUAGUUGUUAGAAUAGUACUUUUGGUUGUUAGGGAUGUGUACCCAUACAUAUAUAAAUAUAUAUAUAUCCUUCCAAUAGUUACACUCUUUACUGAAAAUGGCAUAUUAUUCUUUGCUUUCCAUUAAUUAAUUUAUAUAAAAAAGUUGCUCAAUCCUUUAACUUUACUUAUUUAUAUAAUAGCAUAUAUUUUAAAGUAAGAUUUUAUUUUGUUAAAAGAAGAGGACUAUUUAAUUAUAUAUUACUAAUAUCAUUAUUAAUCUCUAGACUCUAUAUAGUUGUAGAUAUAUAUGAUUUAGAAAAUUGAGAUAAGAACCUUAUCAAGAAACUAUGUAUGCAUAGUAUAUGAUCUGCUUUCUUAAACUGUGUUUUUGUCAACAAUGAAAAGGCCAAUGGUAGCUAGCUAGGAACUGAAAAGUACUGCAUCCCCAUCAUUGAUCAUGUCAUAUCCCUUGAUCUUAAAUGCAUUAUUAAGAGCCAUGAAAUUAAACCAGCUAUUUUUAAUUACUUUCUAGCCCCUUUGUAUAUCCUUAGCCUUUCGUAGGGUACCAGGGUCGUCAAGUCAGUUGGAUAUAAUAUAUAUAUAUAUAUAUAUAUAUAUAUAUAUAUAGGGAUUCCAUCCAUGACAAUCGGUUGUCAUAGACAGUGUUCUAACAACUCCUUUUCGGACCGUUAAUUAACUUAUUGAAAGGCUUAGAUUGAAAUAUAAAAUAUGCCCAUCCGACACAGCUUGUACCGACUUUUAUUUUAAUAUAAGGGCUCCACAUAGUCAACAUCUUGUCAGUAUAUUUAAACAAAACGAAUUUUUAUUAUUAAAAAACACCGGCCGGCACAGCUUGUACCGGCUGUACCUUUUUUUUUUAACGCAUAACAGUAACUCCUAUAACACUGAUUUGUGUCUUAAGGUUCUGCUUAUGGGAAAUCUGCUCAUAUGAUAUAUUACAACUUUGAAAACACUGAUUUGCACAAAUAUUCAAACUUCAUAUGAUGUGACAAUGUAAUUCUCAUCAUUUCAUAUUUGAGAAAUAUAGGAGUUAUUGGAUGGAUGUUAUAACAAAUAAAUAUACAAGCUAUUAUAAGAGUUAAAAAUAUUAAAAAAUUUUAAUUUUUUUAAAAAAAACGUUACUUUUUUUAUAUUAAAAAUAUUAAAAUAUUUUAAUUUUUUUUAAAAAAAACGUUAAUUUUUUGAUAUUAAAAAUAUUAAAAAACGUUAAUAUUUUUUUAUAUUAAAAAAUGUUAAUAUUUUAAAAAUAUUAAAUUUUUUUGAUAUGAGGUUAAUAUUAAAACGUUAAUAUUUUUUGAUAUAAAAAUAUUAAAAUAUUUUAAAUUUUUUAAAAAAUGUUAAUUUUUUGAUAUUAAAAAUAUUAAAAAACGUUAAUAUUUUAUUAAUAUUUUUUGAUAUUAAAAAACGUUAGUAUUUUAAAAAUAUUAAAUUUUUUUGAUAUGAGAUUAAUAUUAAAACGUUAAUAUUUUUAAAAAUAUUUUAAUAUUUUUAACUCCUAUAAGAGCUUGUAUAUGUAUUUGUUAUAACAUCCAUCCAAUAAUUCCUAUAUUUCUCAAAUAUGAAAUGAUGAGAUUUACAUUGUCACAUCAUAUGAAGUUUGAAUAUUUGUGCAAAUCAGUGUUUUCAAAGUUGUAAUAUAUCAUAUGAGCAGAUUUCUCAUAUGCAGAACCUUAAGAUGCAAAUCAGUGUUAUAGGAGUUACUGUUAUGCGUUAAAAAAAAAAAAAGCACAGUCGGUACAAGCUGUGUCGGCUGGUAUUUUUUAAUAAUAAAAAUUCGUUUUGUUUAAAUAUAUUGACAAGAUGUUGACUAUGUGGAGCCCUUAUAUUAAAAUAAAAGUCGGUACAAGCUGUGCGGGCUGGGCAUAUUUUAUGUUUCAAUCCAAGCCUUCCAAUAAGUUGAUCAACGGUCCGAAAAGGGAUUGUUAGAACAGUGUCCAUGACAACCGGUUGCCAUGGAUGAAAUAUAUAUAUAUAUAUAGUCGUCUAUAACGACGAUUUUUUUUACUAUAGCGAUGGUUAAUCCGUCGCUAUAAUCCGUCGUCAUAACCCAAAAAAAUUUCAUCAUAGACGACUAUGUACUACACAGUUGUAUAUAUAUAUAUAUAUAUAUAUAUAUAUNNNNNNNNNNNNNNNNNNNNNNNNNNNNNNNNNNNNNNNNNNNNNNNNNNNNNNNNNNNNNNNNNNNNNNNNNNNNNNNNNNNNNNNNNNNNNNNNNNNNUAAUCAAAAUUAACUGAAGAAUGCAUAAAUCAUAAUCAUCAAAAAAGGAUAAAAUAUAACACCUUUUUUACUUUUCAGUUUUUAUUUUGGUCCAACUGCAAAGCGGACAUCUCUAGAAACCGAAAAGAAAAACAAAUUCGCACUCAAAAUCAAGUAAAAAGAUACAAUCUUGGACAAUAAACAAGAAAAGAUGUAUACAUUCACAGUAAUGCAGAGUGGGCAUCAUACAAAACUAAUUAAAAUUUCAUCAAACAAAUAAAUAUUCAUGAUAACUCAACUGGGUUUCCCAUAAAUUAACUCAAUCAUAACUAAUCAUAAGCUAAAUAAAUACAUAUAUACUUAAAAUAGUGAAAACAAAAUUAAAAAAAAUCAAACUAAAUACCGUUUCUCGAAUAUCCUCUCCAUGCAAGUACUGAAGAAUAUCCAGAAAUCGAUCCAACAGCAAAGCAUCAUACUCCACCAACUUGUCAUCUUCAGAUACUUUUCGAGGUGACAAUAGCCUCAAUUGGGCAUCAAUUGAAGCCAUCUUUUCCAAGUUUCUACUUGCCAUUUUCACUCUUUUCUUCACUCUAAUUCUUUAGUAAUUGGCACAGCAACUUUUCAAUUAAUCAACGAAAAUAACUAUGAAGGGCACGAAAAGUAGACUGAUUUUCAACCACAAUUCACAGAUUGAACUGGGUUUAUGGAAAUUUAAGAUGAACUAAAGCAUAGACGGAUUGAGAUCAAAAUAAUGUGCAAUUCUGAAAUUUUCACAGACAGAGAAAAAGGAAUGCAAUGAGCAUGAAUUUCGUGAUACCCAGGUGAAGAUGAACACAGGAAAGAUAAAUAAUUAUGUUCUUUCACGAGAAAGAACACAAGAUUACAGAGAGAGAGAGAGAGAGAGAGAGAGAGAGAGAGAGACUAAUUCAUAAUAAAUACACGUUACAACACUAUUACGACAAAUACAUCUCUAAUUGGCUAUAAAAAAAAAUGAGCGGUCUAGAUUUUAAACGAACUAGCUGUGCAGUAGUUUUGUUGGUGCAGCAACCAUUUGCAACAUGAAGUAUCAUAAUUAAGCAAUUGAAAAAAUGAAUGGUUCAUCCAAAUUUAAAACAUCUUUAUGAAUGAUAAUUACUCCAUUUGUUACAUUUUGUAAUAGUUUUAUUGGCGCAAACUAUUUCAACAUGGACUAUCAUUGUCUUCUUCAUUUUUUUUACUUUAUGAUCAUAAUCACAACCAAUUGAAGAAAUCAACAGGUUCAACCCAUUUAAAAGAACAUCAUCAUUAUGACUAACAAUUUCAGUAACACUUCUUACUGUGUCUGUGUGGAACUUCAUCAACAUCCUAGUACUAAAGGAAAGGUUAAAAGGGACGUUGAUUGAUUAAUUAGUUUUGCUCCGUACAUAAUUAUAAUUUUGAGAUACCAUGUAAUAAUAUUAAAGUCUGGUUAGAAUUUAAGAUCGAAAUAUAGCACAAUUAUACAAAAAUUAGAUGAAUAACCAGAAAAAAGAAUACAUUAUAUACUCAAGUUCAUCAAUUUGAUUAGUCAUGUUUGUCUGAUGUAUUUAUUAGAUGUCUCACAUGCUCUACAAUGAUUUACACACACCAAACCCAUGAUCAGGCCACUAAUAAAUCUCUAAGCCCAAAUAUACAUUAUGAUUGGUUUCCAAGCGCAAUACUCCCUUGCAACCCUUGUCCGCUGACCAGCGAGAGGACAGACGCUCACUUAGUGGAGAGCGAGACCCUGCCUCGACUACCAUAUCAUAGUGAUCAUUACUCCCCUGCAUUCUCAAUAACUGAACUGGUAUCAAAGUCCGUCUUGGUUGGCUAGACUAUAUGCUUUAAUGGUACAUAGAAUUAAUUGGUUAAGAUUUGGAGUUAAGAUCUGUUUUUUUAAAAUAAGCAUAUACGAAUAUGCUUUAUUCCAAACGCAUAAUUCUAUUUUGUUAAAGCUAACUCAAUAAUGUAUAUCAAUGUAAAGUAGCCAACACUAUAGGUUUCCAAGUUACCUAUACUUUCUUAAAAUGAAGAAAAUAUCACAAAAUACCCGGAUAAAAUAGUUGAUCCAUUAUCGAUGGAUGUUGAGCACUAUUUUUAGCCUGUCUAUAUCCAAACACAGUCAAUUUAAUGGAAUUAUAUACAGUGUGGUAAUAUAAAUUUCGUAAGUAAAAAUAUUAAACAGAGUACUUUGUUGCUUUGUCCAUUGCUUUACGAUGAUAUUCUCAUAUUUAAUACUCCCUCCCUCCAUUAAUAUUAUUAGAGAUAAUUUUCUUAAUUUUUGAUUUAAUUGUAUAUAUUUUAUUUUUGAUUUAAUUUGAUUUUUUGUACUUUUAUUGUAGGAGGUUGUUUAGCUAUUCUCUUGUUAAAGGAGAUUAUUUAGGUUUACCUUAAUUAAGUGUCAUGUACAAUGUAUAUUUAAACCAAUAUUAAUGAAUAGAAAAAUAUGUCAUAUUCUCUCAUAUCCUAAAAACUCUAUAUGGUAUCAAAGCAUUCUUUUUCCUAAAUAACAAAACCCCUUGCGCCAUGACCACUCAAAGCUCUUCCACCUCUGCUAUUCAUUCUCCCACAGUCCCUAAUGCAAAUGAUACAAAACAAACACUCGUUAUCAUGAAUGUUUCUGCCCAAGUCCCUCUUAAUUAAACUAUCCUAAACCAAUUAUAUCUCCUGAAAAAUUCAAUUUCAAACCCUUUUCGUUGGUUACGAGAUGGUACUAAACCUUGCCCACCCGAAAAUAUCACUGAAAAUGAAAUAACUCAAUUGAACUUGUCCUAUACAUUUUGGAUUCGUCGGGAUCAACUUAUACUUAAUUAAUGCUAUCAUUGGCUCACUUUCACCUACCAUCAUUCCUUUUAUUGCUUGUGCAACCACCUCUCGUCAAGCUUGGAUGAUUCUUGCUACUACAUAUGCUAAGCCAUCUCGCGGUCGGAUCAAACAAGUUAAAGGUCACCUCAAAAAUCCUACCAAAGGUUCUCAAAGUGUUACUGAUUUUUUACAAUCUGUCAAAGCCUGAGCCGAUGAACUUGGUCUUCUUGGUGUCCCUAUGGACGACUAUGAUCUUACAAAAAAAAAUCAUGAUGGUCUUGGUAGUGAAUACAAAGAUCUUGUCCAUGUCGUUCACGCUCGUGACACACCCUUCACCUUUGAUGAACUUCAUGAAAAACUACUCAUUUUUAAAGCCCAUCUGUAAGAGACAAAGCCUGAUCAGUCUUAUCUACCAGACUCUGUGAAUACUGCUUAACGCACCAAUACAGGCUCGCAUGCCUCUAGGUGGCGUCCAUCGUCGACCAAUUUGGCUCCACUAAUACUGGAUGGCAUCCAUCUUCCAAUAACAAUUGGCACCCUUUGCCCGACCUGAAUCAGCCUCUGAAUAAUCGACCACCACCACGACCAUAUCUUGGCUACUGUCAGAUUUGUGGUAUUCAGAGUCAUAUUGCCAAACGAUGCCCUUCGUUUUGCAUUGUAUCAAAUGACUCCUCGUCCUCACCUCGACCUCCGAUUACUCGUUCUACUGCACCAUGGAAACCUCGGGCUCAUUUUGCAGCCACCCCAACAUCCGUCACUCCGUUAUGGCUCUUUGACAUUGGUGUUUCUUAUCAUGUCACCGCUAACCUGAGCAACUUAUCUUCUCAUGCACCAUACACAGGCACAGACGAUGUUACGAUUGGCGAUGACACGAUUCUACCCAUUUCACAUACCAGUUCCACUUCCUUAAAUACCCCUACUACUUCCUUUACCUUAUCUAAUGUUCUCUGUGUUCCUAGCAUGAAAAAGAAUUUAAUAUCUAAUUCUCAAUUUUGUAUCACUAAUAAUGUCUCCAUUGAAUUCUUACCAACUUCUUUUCUUGUGAAGGAACUUCGCACGGGGACAGUCCUCUUAACGGGUCAAACGAAGGAUGGAGUGUAUGGCCGACGUAAUUCCUCAUCCGUGAAAUCACCUUUACUUGUUUUCUCCAGUGUCAAGACCACUUCGUCUGAGUGGCAUCAUAGAUUAGGUCAUCCCGCUUUUUCUAUUCUAAAACAUGUUACGUCUCAUUAUAAAUUAGAUUUGUCAUCUUCUAUUUCACUUAAUUUUUCAUGUAAUGCAUGCAACUGGAAUAAAAGUCACAAAUUACCAUUUUCUACUACUUCUAUUGUCUUAAUCAAACCUCUUGAAAUUCUUUUUUCUGAUGUGUGGACUUCCCCAAUCCUCUCCCAUGAUGGCUUUAAAUAUUAUAUCAUCUUUAUUGAUCACUAUACGAAAUAUAUAUGGAUUUAUCCAAUCAAGCACAAAUCGGAUGUUCAUAAUGUCUUCAUAAGAUUCAAAACUAUUGUUGAACAUUAUUUUAACAAAAAAAUCAAAACCCUUUAUUCUGACAAUGGUGGCGAAUACAAUGGUCUUAAUUCCUAAUUAGCUACUUAUGGUAUUUCUCACCUUACAACUCCACCUAACACCAUAUUAACAUAAUGGGUUUUUCUAAAAGAUAUCACCGUCAUAUAGUAGAAACUGGUCUCACACUUCUCUUUCAUGCUUCCCUUCCUUUAAAUUUUUGGUCUCAUGCCUUCACCACUGAUGUCUACCUCAUAAAUUGUAUGCCCACUCCAACACUAAAUCUCUCUUCACCUUUUGAAAAGAUUUUUAGUAUUCCUCCAAACUACUCUAAACUUCGAGUCUUAGGUUGCCUAUGUUACCCCUGGCUUUGGCCUUAUUCUUCACAUAAACUCAAAUCUCGCUCCAUUUGUGACGCCCCCAAAAUAGGUAUACAUCACCCAUUUUGAGUCGCCAAUAACAUGGUACAGAAACAACUACAACUUUAUUAAUACAACAUAAAAAUUGUGAGUUUAAAUACAAAUAUUGCCAUCUAGACAAUAUUCACACCCAAAUAAGUCCUCAUUACAAUUAUUGAUAUAUUAUUUUACAAAAAUGGUGAGGACUACUAAAACAUCUUUCAAAGAACUUCAUUCCACACCCCGACUAAUACUCGCUACAUUCUCGCAUCCUGAGAAGAAAAAUGGAACAAAAAGGAAAAGGGGGGAGCUCAACUAGCCCAGUAAAGAAUAUUAUGACUAAGAUAAUAUAGAACAAAUUAUCGUUAGUCUUCAACAAGGAAAAAUCUGAUAAAAUACAAUAGACAACAAGUUUCAGAUCAAUAUUCGCAGCGGAAAUAAUAAUUCGUAGAAGAGUUACGUAGAGAAUGAAAUCUACUAUAAUCUAUGAAUUUAAAAGUCCAUCAUCAAUAUUUUGUCCCUGUAACAUCAAUCAAUAUUCAUCUUGAAUCAAAUAUUCAUCUUUGCACUACAUGCCAAAGAUAUUCAUCAGUCAGUCAUGUUCAUCUCAACACCUGUACAUCUUUGCACUACGACCAAAGAUAUUCAUAAUAAAAUAAACCAUCUUUGCACUACAGGCCAAAGAUAUUCAGUAAAAUCAUCAUUUAGGACUGAGGAUGAUGAAAAAUAUUUUAAAGAAAAUGAAUCCAGUGAAACAAAAGAACAAAUAUUAAGGAUUUGUACUUUAAACAAUCCGAGUUCAAAAAUACUUCAUAAAUAAUCAUAGUGAAGUAAAAUUCAAGAAUGAUCAAAACAUGGAUACAAUCAAAGCUAGUAUCCACAAUAGAUAUUUUGGACAAAAACAAAAAUUUAAUUUUUCUGUGAAUAGUGCCGUAUUCGUGAAUAGUGCCGUAUACGUGAAUAGUGUUGUAUAUGUGAAUAGUAACCCCGACACUAAAAGACAAGAAUUUCAUAAGAAAAAUCUUACAAAUAUUCCGGCAUAAUGAUAUUAGAAGAAAUAAUAUCAUUUUAAAAAAAAUAACAUCCCUUACCUCGAAAAAAUGGUAACUUCUGACUGAAAUACUGGAUAUAGGGCUGAAGGGAACUUGCACCGUAUAACAACACUCAAAGUAUCAAAAUACUCACAAGAAUACGCUCGAUAAUAUAGAGAGAAAAAGAGAGAGAAAACUUCAGUUUCUGGUGUGAUUUUCAAUUCUAACCUAAGCACCCUAUUUAUAGGAAAAUGCUUAGAACACCAAAGCAGAAAAUUUAAUAAAAUAUUAAUAUUUUUUUUUAUUCCAACGCACACUUAUUUUGCCCCAAAACAUCAGCCACCAAAUAGCCCACCUCACAAGACUUACACAAAAAAUGUUUUUCUUAUUUAAAAUAAUUAAAACUUUCAAAAAUCAAUUAUUUCGGAACUACGGAACUUCAAUAAUUCAUAAUAAAUAGCCCUUUUAUCAGAAAAAUUCAAAACACAUGUCCUUUCCAUAGGAAAUUCCAUUCUCUACAACUUUGCAGAAGAAAGUUUUCCAAAUUCCAAACAGAAACUGACCGAAAUCCAUAAACGGGCAAUUUUACAAGCUAUAAUCAAAUUUUAGUCAAGAAAUGGGCCCACAGACAUGUUUAACAUGUUUUAAANNNNNNNNNNNNNNNNNNNNNNNNNNNNNNNNNNNNNNNNNNNNNNNNNNNNNNNNNNNNNNNNNNNNNNNNNNNNNNNNNNNNNNNNNNNNNNNNNNNNGUAACUACUGUAACAAUUAUUGAGUAGUGCCUUCUUACGUAAGAAUCAAUAAUUGGUGCAAUACCGUGUGCUACUGUGUUUUAACCACCGAGUAUUCCAACAGUAUUAACGGUAACAACUACGCCGUUAUUUAUAAACAACUUAUAUUUGUCGUUUUCUUCAUCCAAUCGCUUUCCGUUAUGGGGCCCACACAAGGCUGCGCCGUCGUACGAAUAUUCCCUGACAACAAGAAUAUUCCACGACCAAACGAAUUUUCCCCGACAACAAUAUAUAUUUUAUAACCACUUGCUUAUUUGAAAUAUUUGCGCAUUUUACCCAUAACUAACCAUAUUAAUCAAAUUAACCCUUACUAUUUCAAAAUAAAAAAUAGAGGAAAUUAAAUUUUAUUUAUUAAUAAUUUGGGGUCUUACAACCUCUCCUCCUUAUGAAAUUUCGUCCUCGAAAUUGACGUGCGUACCUGGUAUUUCGAAAAGGUGAGGAUACCUCGAUUUCAUUUCCGUUUCCAAUUCCCAGGUCAUUUCCUCAAUAGCAUGGUUUCUCCACAAAACUUUGACUUGUGGUAUGACCUUUGUGCGUAGGACAUGCUCCUUCCUAUCCAAGAUCUUGACUGGUACCUCCUCGUACGUUAAAUCUUCGGCUAUCUCGUUCAGUUCUAACUCAAUAACGUGGUUCGGGUCUUUCACAUAUUUACGAAGCACAGAUAUAUAAAAAACAUUAUGAACACGAGACAUACUUGGAGGUAACGCGAGUCUAUAGGCUACAUUUUCUACUCGGUCAAGAAUCUGAAAUGGACCAAUAAAUCGUGGAUUGAGCUUUCCUCUCUUCUCGAAUCUUGUAACUCCCUUCCAUGGGGCUACUCGCAACAAUACAUGAUCCCCAAUACUAAAUUCCACGUCCUUUUGAUGAAGAUCCGCAUAACCCUUUUGUCGAUCCUGUGCUGUUUGUAUACGUUGUCGAAUUAUUUGGAUCUUUUCCGUAGUCAUACGUACCAACUCUGGUCCCAACAAUGUUGCUUCACCAACCUCAUCCCAACAUACUAGAGAGCGACACUUACGUCCAUAUAAUGCUUUGAAUGGGGCCACACCUAUACUUGCCUGAUAACUGUUGUUGUAGGAGAAUUCCACCAAUGGUAAAUAUUUAUCCCAACUCCCUUUUAAGUCUAGGACACAGAGUCUUAAUAGAUCUUUAAGAGUUUGAAUAUUUCUCUCUGAUUGUCCGUCCAUUUGAGGAUGGUAUGCCGAACUGAAUCGUAAAUUCAUGCCCAUAGCUUUUUGCAAGCUAACCCAAAAUCGUGAAGUGAAUCUUGGGUCACGAUCUAAAACUAUGGAUACUGGAAUGCCAUGCAAUCUCACAAUCUCAUUUAUAUACAUAUGAGUAAGACGUUCAAAGGAAUAAGUCUCCCGUAUCGGCAAGAAAUGAGCAGACUUGGUUAAUCUAUCAACAAUAACCCAAAUCGCAUCUAUGCCUUGAGAAACCGUGGGAAGACCCGUAACGAAAUCCAUGGUAAUGUGUUCCCACUUCCAUUUCGAAAUCUCAAGUGGUUGCAAUGGACCCUUAGGUACUUGAUGCUCCGACUUUACACGUUGACAAGUUAAACACCUCGAGAUAAACUUUGCAAUCUCUCUCUUCAUAUUGUCCCACCAAAAUGUAUGUCAAAGAUCACGAUACAUUUUGGUACUUCUAGGAUGGAUUGAAAACGGUGUAUUAUGUGCCUCCGUCAUGAUCUUGUACUUCAAAUCAGAGUCGUUAGGAACACAAAGUCUGGAGUGGACUCAAAGUAUUCUUUCUUCAUCGAUUCUCGCUUCCGGAAUAUCACCUUCUUGUAAUUUCUUCUUCAUGUGCAUCAGCUCCGGGUCGGUGGCUUGGGCAACUUUAACUUUAUCGAUUAAAGUUGGUUCUAUGCGUAUACUUGACAUCAUCGUACUUGUUCCUGCAUAUGAUCUUCUACUCAACGCGUCAGCUACCAGGUUCGCUUUUUUAGGAUGGUAUUGAAUAGUGUGGUCAUAAUCUUUUAACAGCUCGAGCCAACGUCGUUGCCGCAUGUUGAGUUCCUUUUGUAUGAAGAAAUAUUUGAGGCUUUUAUGGUCUGAAUAUAUCUCCACUUUCUCCCCAUAUAGAUAGUGCCUCCAGAUCUUUAGCGCAAAAACGACUGUUGCCAACUCUAGAUCAUGAGUAGGAUAAUUCCUCUCAUAUUCUUUAAGUUGUCGCGAGGCAUAGGCUAUGACUUUCCCACGUUGCAUGAGAACACAUCCUAACCCUUUGCCUGAAGCAUCGCUGUAGAUAAAAAAUCCAUCCGAACCAGAUGGUAUUGUCAGAACAGCUGCCGAAAUGAGUCUUCUUUUGAGCUCUUGGAAACUCUUUUCGCAUUCCUCGCUCCAUACGAAUUUUGUAUCUUUCCGAGUCAGCUGAGUUAACGGAGUAGCGAUUCGAGAAAAUCCUUCCACGAAUCUCCGAUAAUAACCAGCUAAGCCCAAAAGCUACGUACUUCGGUUACUGACUUCGGUUGCUCCCAACUUUGUAUUGCCUCAAUCUUCGCCGGGUCGACAGAUACUCCAUGUUUUGACACCAUGUGCCCAAGGAAUGCUACUUCCUCAAGCCAGAACUCGUAUUUCUUUAACUUGACAUAUAGCUUGUUUUCACUAAGCCUUUGGAGUACCAGCUUCAAAUGGUGUUCAUGAUCUUCACUGCUUUUGGAAUAUAUGAGGAUGUCAUCAAUAAAGACAACAAUGAACUGAUCCAAAUAAUCCUUGAAUACUCAGUUCAUCAUAUCCAUGAAAGCCGCAGGAGCAUUAGUUAAUCCAAAAGACAUGACUAAGAAUUCAUAAUGCCCGUACCGAGUUUUGAAGGCAGUCUUUGGAAUAUCUUCAGCUUAUGAUAUCCAGAACGAAGAUCUAUCUUUGAAAAGAAUUGUGCUCCUUGUAACUGGUCAAACAGGUCAUCAAUAUGAGGUAACGGAUACCUAUUCUUGAUGGUGACAUGGUUCAAUUCCCGAUAGUCAAUACAAAGUCACAUACUCCCGUCUUUCUUCUUUACAAAUAAAAUAGGAGCACCCCAAGGAGAUGUACUAGGACGAAUGAAACCGAUGUCCAAUAACUCCUGUAGUUGGACCUUUAACUCCUGAAGUUCAAUAGGAGCCAUUCGAUAUGGGGUUUUAGAAAUGGGCUUUGUACCAGGUUCAAGAUCAAUAAAGAAUUCAACUUCACGUUCUGGGGGUAGACCGGGAAGUUCUUCAGGAAAUACGUCAGGAAAUUUACUAACAACAGGAAUAUUAUUCAAAUCCGACGUGUCUUUAUUCAAAUCCAUAACAUGGGCUAAGAAAGCUUGACAUCCGUUUUUCAAUAAACGAAUAAAUUUAUGACUUGAUAUGACAUUGAUUGAUUUUAGUGGUUUAGUUGCUUGAAUUCGUACAACAGGUUGGUUAGGAAUAUGAAACUGAAUAACCUUACGAAAACAAUCAAUUUUGUCAUGAUGAGUAGUUAACCAAUCAAUCCCUAAAAUCACAUCAAAAGCAAGUAUCUUUAAAGAGAUAAGAUCAACAGUUAAUGUGAUGGUGCCAACUUGGAUCAAACAAAAUUUAUAAACAGUGGAUGUGAUGAAAGUUUCUCCUAACGGAGUCUCCACAGAUAAAUCAAAGUCUAAUUUCUCCGAAGUUAAGUUUAAACAUUGAGCACAAGCAGGAGAGAUAAAUGAAUGGGUAGCACCGGUAUCAAGUAAGGUAUAAACUUCGCAAGAAUUUAUAAUUAGCUUACCCGUGAUCACCUCGUUUGGGUUUCUCGUAUUUUGAUCAGUCACGACAAACGCUCUUUCAGGAACCGUUGACUUUGACUUUUCUGGGACAGCCUUUUGAGUCACUAUCCCCGCUGGACUUGGUUUCACUAUUGUACAAUCUCGAGCGAUAUGUCCUUCUUUUUCAUAAUUAUAACAUACCUUGAACUGUUGUGGGCAGUUUGGGCUGAUAUGUCCCUCUUUCCCGCAUUUAUAACAUAUGAUCGGUGGUCGUUCUCCUCCCUUAGAACCAGUUGCUGCUGGUGCUGACUUCUUCACAUGGUCAUUGUUGAAUCUCCUCUUUUUAAAAUCUCCCCCCGACUCGCUUCUUCUAUUUUCAUGGCCAUGAUUACCACCAGAGUGAUUACCAUUUUUGUCCGUCUUUUUCUUUCUCCGCUGGUUAUCGUUGUUCUGAUGACUGCUAUCUUCGGUAUGAUCCUGGUUGUGGUCCUGUGGUUGAACAUACUCGUUAUCUCGCUCUAAUAAUUGAGCCCUGUUGACAACAUCUGAAUAGAGAGAAAAUUUAUGAGAAAUGAGAUAUUGACGUAUGCCGGGUUUCAAACCUCUCAGAAACAUCCGCGUCAUACGUUCCUCAUUCUCCACCAAAUGAGGUGCAAACCUGGAUAACUCUGCAAACUUCGCCUCAUACUGGGACACCGUCAUGUUGUUUUGUUCUAGUCUAAUAAACUCCACUUCCUUCAUAUGAAGAAUACUUUCAGGAAAGUACUUGUCAUUGAACAGUUUCUGAAACGUCUCCCAAGACAUGCUGAGUGCGGCUGGAUGGGUAUGCUUCACAGAUUCCCACCAGUAAUCUGCCUCAUUACGGAACAUAAAGGAGGCGAAUGGAACCUUCUGUUCCUCUAUGCAUCCCAAGACAUCGAAUAUCUUGGGAAUUUGUUUGACCCACGUUUUCGCCUUAAUCGGAUCCGGCUUUCCCCAGAAUUCUGGUGGUCCCAACUCUUUAAACUGCUUGGUCGUGACAAAUCGUGCGUUGUUAUCAUUUCCACCGGUAUUUUAUGCACGAGUUUUCCUCGUCUGAUUUUGCAUGAACUGCAAAAAGCUUCUAAACAUUCCGUCGUUCAUCGUCUGAUCAGUGGUGUUGUUUACAGGAGGAACAUUGUCGGCAUGUUGCACGUUCUCCUCGUUGGUGGGUAAAGGUGUCUCCACGGUCUCAAUUGCUCCACUGUUAACAUUAUCAGUCGACAUUCUCAAAUACAGCCAUAAAACAAAGGUAAAUUAAAGAAAUCAACAUAUCACAUAAUAUCCCUAUAUACUGACCAACUAACAAAUAAGCUUAGGUAGGAAACACUAGCGAAGGAUUUACUUGUCUCUCCCCUCCUAGUUUUAUUUCCUGAUCUCCCCCAGAGAUCAUAUCCCUAAGCUCUGAUACCAACUGUGACGCCCCCAAAAUAGGUAUACAUCACCCAUUUUGAGUCGUCAAUAACAUGGUACAGAAACAACUACAACUUUAUUAAUACAACAUAAAAACUGUGAGUUUAAAUACGACGUGUCUUUAUUCAAAUCCAUAACAUGGGCUAAGAAAUCUUGACAUCCGUUUUUCAAUAAACAAAUAGCUUUAUGACUUGAUAUGACAGUGAUUGAUUUUAGUGGUUUAGUUGCUUCAAUUUGUACAACAGGUUGGUUAGGAAUAUGAAAACUAAUAACGUUACGAAAAUAUCAUCAUUAUUAUAUUAUUAAAAUAUAAUAAUAUAUUUAAAUGAAUUAUUUUAUCAGAAAAAGAUAAAAUAUUAAUUUUCAACAAUUGUCACAUUAAAAAUUUUCUCCAUCUAUAUCCACAUAAAAUGAAUAUUUUUCUCAUCAUAAAAAUCAAUAAUUAAUUAUUCACAAAUAAUAUUACAGAAUCACAAUAUUGACAACCAGGCAGUUCCCAGGAAAGAGGGGGCUUUCCAAUAAGAAUUUCUCCUUACUGGCGCGCAAUUAGGUGACCAAACCUCUCCUUAGACAGAACUUUCUAGACAUUGCCAAUAAUGUUAUCUAAUAAUAUUAUUCAGAUAAUAUGAAUUAUUGCUUCGAUAAUGGAAAAUACUGUGUAAUGACAAUUAUUGAAACAACAGUAAUAUAAAAUAUCAACGCAGCAAUUAUUGAAUCAAUAAAAUAAAAUACUGAACAGUAAUUACUGUAACAAUUAUUGAGUAGUGCCUUCUUACGUAAGAAUCAAUAAUUGAUGCAAUACCGUGUGCUACUGUAUUUUAACCACCGAGUAUUUCAACAGUAUAAACGGUAACAACUACGCCGUUAUUUAUAAACAACUUAUAUUUGUCGUUUUCUUCAUCCAAUCGCUUUCCGUUAUGGGGCCCACACAAGGCUGCGCCGUCGUACGAAUAUUCCCUGACAGCAAGAAUAUUCCACGACCAAACGAAUUUUCCCCGACAACAAUAUAUAUUUUAUAACCACUUGCUUAUUUGAAAUAUUUGCGCAUUUUACCCAUAACUAAUCAUAUUAAUCAAAUUAACCCUUACUAUUUCAAAAUAAAAAAUAGAGGAAAUUAAAUUUCAUUUAUUAAUAAUUUGAGGUCUUACACCAUUCCCCUGUGUCUUUCUUGGCUACUUUCUUACUCAGAGUGCCUAAUUUUGUUAUGAUCCCUCUCACUCCAAAAUGUUUAUAUCUCGUCAUAUCAAGUUUGUUGAGUCUUUUUGUUUUCCUUUCUCUUCUCUUCACAACCAUUUACCUUGUCCUCGACCACAAACUGUUUCCACUUGGAUCCCGCCAAUUAUACAUCUUCCAUCAUCCAACAAUCAGCCUCGGUCACUCUUUACGCCAUCUAACGAACGAUCUCUUUCUGUGCCCUCAAUCGAUGUUUCGACACCAAAUGCAUCACUUACACCCUCGACCAUGUUGGGUAAAAUCUAGUUAAGCACAACACGCAAGUAUAUGUGGUCAACAAGUAAUAAAGUGAAAGUAAAGUAUCGUUCCCACGAGGAAUUAGUUAACAAAAA